rnacentral:rRNA from 1 species
AUUACUCCUACGGGAGGCAGCAGUGGGGAAUUUUGGACAAUGGGGGCAACCCUGAUCCAGCCAUGCCGCGUGUCUGAAGAAGGCCUUCGGGUUGUAAAGGACUUUUGUCAGGGAGGAAAUCCUGGUCGUUAAUAGCGAUCGGGGAUGACAGUACCUGAAGAAUAAGCACCGGCUAACUACGUGCCAGCAGCCGCGGUAAUAAU